GGGACACGUGGUAUCCUGUCUGAAUAUGGGGGGACCAUCCUCCAAGGCUAAAUACUCCUGACUGACCGAUAGUGAACCAGUACCGUGAGGGAAAGGCGAAAAGAACCCCGGCGAGGGGAGUGAAAAAGAACCUGAAACCGUGUACGUACAAGCAGUGGGAGCACGCUUAGGCGUGUGACUGCGUACCUUUUGUAUAAUGGGUCAGCGACUUAUAUUCUGUAGCAAGGUUAACCGAAUAGGGGAGCCGAAGGGAAACCGAGUCUUAACUGGGCGUUAAGUUGCAGGGUAUAGACCCGAAACCCGGUGAUCUAGCCAUGGGCAGGUUGAAGGUUGGGUAACACUAACUGGAGGACCGAACCGACUAAUGUUGAAAAAUUAGCGGAUGACUUGUGGCUGGGGGUGAAAGGCCAAUCAAACCGGGAGAUAGCUGGUUCUCCCCGAAAGCUAUUUAGGUAGCGCCUCGUGAAUUCAUCUCCGGGGGUAGAGCACUGUUUCGGCAAGGGGGUCAUCCCGACUUACCAACCCGAUGCAAACUGCGAAUACCGGAGAAUGUUAUCACGGGAGACACACGGCGGGUGCUAACGUCCGUCGUGAAGAGGGAAACAACCCAGACCGCCAGCUAAGGUCCCAAAGUCAUGGUUAAGUGGGAAACGAUGUGGGAAGGCCCAGACAGCCAGGAUGUUGGCUUAGAAGCAGCCAUCAUUUAAAGAAAGCGUAAUAGCUCACUGGUCGAGUCGGCCUGCGCGGAAGAUGUAACGGGGCUAAACCAUGCACCGAAGCUGCGGCAGCGACACUGUGUGUUGUUGGGUAGGGGAGCGUUCUGUAAGCCUGCGAAGGUGUGCUGUGAGGCAUGCUGGAGGUAUCAGAAGUGCGAAUGCUGACAUAAGUAACGAUAAAGCGGGUGAAAAGCCCGCUCGCCGGAAGACCAAGGGUUCCUGUCCAACGUUAAUCGGGGCAGGGUGAGUCGACCCCUAAGGCGAGGCCGAAAGGCGUAGUCGAUGGGAAACAGGUUAAUAUUCCUGUACUUGGUGUUACUGCGAAGGGGGGACGGAGAAGGCUAUGUUGGCCGGGCGACGGUUGUCCCGGUUUAAGCGUGUAGGCUGGUUUUCCAGGCAAAUCCGGAAAAUCAAGGCUGAGGCGUGAUGACGAGGCACUACGGUGCUGAAGCAACAAAUGCCCUGCUUCCAGGAAAAGCCUCUAAGCAUCAGGUAACAUCAAAUCGUACCCCAAACCGACACAGGUGGUCAGGUAGAGAAUACCAAGGCGCUUGAGAGAACUCGGGUGAAGGAACUAGGCAAAAUGGUGCCGUAACUUCGGGAGAAGG
rnacentral:rRNA from 1 species